AGAUCCAGAUCAGGGUAUGAGGUGGGUGGGCAGUCCAUGCUGGUACAACCAGGAAAACUUGUACAUGUGGUGUACAUGAGGGGUUGGUGAGUGAAUACUUGUGUGCUUGCAGGAAACUUCCAGCCAGACUAGGCAGCAAGUACGUGACCCGUGAAGUGGGUAAGGGGCCUGGGAUCCAGGCAAGGAUUCUGGACACAGAGGCUGCACCUGUAUUUGAAGAAUCCAGGCAAGGAGCCCAGGAUGCAGGCAAGAGUGCUGAACAGACAGAGGGGGCAUGCUGGGUACUCAAAGGAUCCACACGUGUAUAGAAGGAAGGAAUCUGAUUCAACACGAAGCAGUAGAAAAUCUAAAUGUACUAUCUGAAGGCUACUGUCUCAAUAUAAGGACUUCGUGAGAGUUCAUUUAUAGGUUAGUAGAGAGGGGAGAGUAUCAUAUAAUCUAAAUCAGAUUGUUUAAAUAUCUGUUGUCUAAAUCUCAGCUUCAUUUCCUGGGAGCCCUUUACUGUCAAUGCAGAAAAGCCAACAGUUCUAAAGAAAAGUUUGUGUAUCCAGUCUUAGACAUCUGUAUAAGCAUGCAGUGAAUCACUUCUGUAGGCAUCUAUACUGGCUAUAAACAAAGUCUAGGGUGUCUAGAUAAUGCUUUUGUGUGCCAAAUGUGCAUAGAUUCAUAUAACGCUUAGUGCUUCUGCAGAAAAUAAGAAGCUUGGAUUCUUUCCUUUUUUUUUUUUCUUGAUUGCUUCUAAAAAUUAAUCUCUAGUUCUUCCAUGAGAGACAACACUAUGGAUAGCUAGAUAAGUCAAUUUAAAAUAUGUUAACUUGAAAGUCUGGAUAAAAUGAUGUCUUGCACUUACAAAGUGGAAAUCUGUAAUAUGUAGGGCUUGCAUAAAUGUAUGAAACUUGCUGACACCAGGCAUCUACUGUUGUUGCACUAGUGAGCAGUUUUGGCAGCAGCUACAAAAGCAACAGCUAAAGCCUCUUAUGCCAACUUCAUCAGCUUCAGGAACAAUUUGGAUGGAAAUAAGAAGAAAGAGGAAUAUGGCAAGAUUGCACAGCUUUUUCAGGAGGGACAUCACUUAGUGUAAUUUGGGUAUCUCAGAACAAGCAUGACUGGAUGAAGAAGCUCUAUGGACAUCCAGUUUGCAUAUAAGAAAGAUUUCUGUUUCUUGACAUACCAUAAGUCAGUAACCAGAAGAUACUAUUUUAUCAGCAUACCAGAUGUGUACCAUUAUUGCCCUGCUCUUUAGAAUUUGCUUGUCUCCAGGAAAUUAUUAAGGGUUUUAUUUGCCUGCCAGUCUUGGGGGAACAUUCAUACCUGUGCAAGUUGGCAUUAAAAAGCUACAUGAACAGAAAUAAUUCGGUGACAGAAAAUCAUCCAUGGAAUUAAAAAUUAAUAAUAAAUAAUUAAGGCAAAUUUAAUAUUGUUGUUAC
rnacentral:lncRNA from 1 species